rnacentral:lncRNA from 1 species
AGAGCCCCGCCUGUCCUCGGCCUACCGCGGCGAGCAGGCAUUCCGGGUCAGACCGGCGCGGGGCGCUGCGGCCCAACUCCUUAGUAGGACGACGUGACUCGAGGGGCCGGAGGACGGAGGUGGGAGCCCGGGCUAGAGGGUGGAGGCUGGGGAGGUUGCCUGGUCACUCUGGCGCUCCGCUGCCGGGGGCAUCCUCCGGCCCAGCAAAGGUGCAGCCUGGGAAGAAGGCGUCAGCACCACCCAGAGAAGAGGAGAGGGGACUUGGCACGCCUCAGGAAGGAAAAAAGGAAGGCUCUCGGGACCACCCAAUAAGCAACCGGGAAACCACAUACCAUGGACAGUGCUCGGGGAAUUUCGUAAGGUUUUUGGAAGUAACUUUAUGUGUAACUAGAGUAAGAGUAGCUUACAUUUAAGUGCUAGGAGCAGGACUUUGCUUACCUUAGGUUCAGUUUUCUUAAUAGCUCUGAGGUGGAUAUUUUUAUUCAUCAUUUUCAGAUGAGAUGAGGAAAUCGAGCUUGGGGAAAGUUAGGCUUAUCUUGCCCCUGGCACACAGACAGGGUGGCAGACCAUGCCAUAGAUCUGGUCUGCCACAGGCCCCGGUAGUUCCUGCCUGUCACCCCUCCAGUUGUAUUUUAUUGUUUAUUAACUCCUGCCAGCUACCCUAGCAGGGAAGAGGAAAAAAUUAAAAGUGCAAAGAGCUCCGUAGUUUUGUUCAAAUGGAGGAAGCUGGCAUUGGAAGCUGGCAUUGGCAGCAGCUGCUGAGGCCUGAGAAGGUCCAUGAAGGCUUCCCUGAGAAGAGAAACUUGAUCUGAGCUUGAAGAAUAGAGAGCCUGGGAAGGAGAGGGGCCCAUUUAGCUGGUAAGCAAAAUCCAGUAGGACUCUAAGUCAUUCAGCAAGUCUUCAUCAAUAAAGAAUAGCAAGUAGGCCGGGCGCGGUGGCUCACGCCUGUAAUCCCAGCACUAUGGGAGGCUGAGGCGGGCGGAUCACGAGGUCAGGAGAUCGAGACCAUCCUGGCUAACACGGUGAAACCCCGUCUCUACUAAAAAUACAAAAAAUUAGCCGGGCAUGGUGGCAGGCACCUGUAGUCCCAGCUAUUCGGGAGGCUGAGGCAGGAGAAUGGCUUGAACACGGGAGGUGGAGCUUGCAGUGAGCUGAGAUCACGCCACUGCACUCCAGCCUGGGCGACAGAGUGAGACUCCGUCUAAAAAAAAAAAAGAAAAGAAAAGAAAGAAUAGUAAGUAAUUUAUAUUCAUUUUAAGAGAAUAUAUGUGGGGUGGGGAAGGGGAAGGGUAUGAGUAACAGAGAUGAGGUUGGAAAGACAAGUUGGUGGCAAUAGAUUCUUGUAGGAGUUUGGACAUUAUCCUAAGUGCAAUAUGAAACCAUGAUGGGGUUUCAAGUGAGCAAUGAUGAUUACAUUUGCAUUUUAGAAAAAUCUGCAACAUGAAAGACAAAUUGAAGGAAGAAAGAGAGGCAGGAGACAUUUGGAAGGAGGAAAUAGAAAGCCAAAAUAAAGUAACUGAUUCCAGGCCUGUGCCUAGGGUGUGAAAUACCUUGGGCCUGGUGCUGGCUGGCGGUUUCACUGGUGGAGGUGGUGGUGGGCAGGGGAGAUGGUGUUGGGAGUGGGGUUUAAAUGCACAAAUUCUGGACUUAGUCCUGAGUUCAAAACCUGUUUAUGCCUCUUUCUAGCAAUGAGACCUUAGCUUCUUCUGAAACUCAUUUUAGUUAAGGGGUUUUAGGGGUGGGGGGCUCAGCCCAGAGACCACAACUUAGUCAGUAUGUGUUUUCUUCCUGCUUCCCAUCCAGGGCUCCUCCUCAUCCCUGGAGGUUCCAGGGAUCUGGCAGAGAAAGAAGCCCAGUCUCACAGCAAUGACUCCUGAACAUCCUUUGCAAACACUAUUUAGGACAGAUGGACUGAAGUAGGCCCUGGGGAGAGUUGGGGGCAUUUCCGGAGGCCAGACCAAAGGUGAUCUCCAGGAGAUUUGGAUGUUAGUGCAGGAUAGCUCAGAGCCAAGUGGCAGAUAAGUCUUUGGGAGCCAGAAGGGCUCUUUCUUCUCUAAGGAACAAGUGUAGACCUAUAGGGGCAAGAACCUGUGGCAACCCUGGGAGAGGUCUGCAGAUUCAGGAGGGAACAUCCCAAAACUCAGCAGAGGAGGAGAGGGAGCUUUUGUUGGUCACCUGGAACCACUACCAAUCCAUGUUCAUGUCAAAUUAAAUGAUCACUUUGAAGUUUUUCAGCCUACCAAAAUCAUGUGAAUUUGGUCUGCAAAACCAGACGACUGCCUGCUUGCAGUUAAGAAUUCUCAGCGGGAGGCCGGGCGCAGUGGCUCAUGCCACCAGCACUUUGGGAGGCUGAGGUGGGUGGAUCACGAGGUCAGGAGUUCGAGACCAGCCUGGCUAACACGGUGAAACCCUGUCUCUACUAAAAAUACAAAAGUUAGCCUGGUGUGGUGGCGGGCACCUGUAGUCCCGGCUACUUGGGAAGCUGAGGCAGGAGAAUCUCUUGGACCUGGAAGGUGGAGGUUGCAGUGAGCUGAGAUCGCGCCAUUGCACUCCAGCCUGGGCAACAGAGCGAGACUCUGUCUCAAAAAAAAAAAAAAAAGAAGAAGAAGAAAAAAAAGAAUUCUCAGGGGGAGAUUAUUCCCCUUUCUUAGUACCAAGGUUGGAUGUAGGCAGUUUUCUUUGUAGUCCCCUGGUUUGAGGGAGAGAGGUUAGGUCAGACAGGGGCAGGUUUCUUUCUAAUUCACCUUCACAGUGUAGGCAUACACUGGCCUUUGAGGUCCUGGCCUUAUGGAGAAGUUUCUAAAUAGACUCCCCAUGGUGAGGGGGCCCUGGGCUUUGUCUUUCUCAUAAGCCCAGAGACCCCUUGAAAACCAAUGAUCAGGUUCUCUGGGUUCGGCAACUGCCCUCAAGAUGAAAGCCAAUGACAGAGCUUUGCUUACCUUUGUAGCUUCUUGCUUUCAUUUACUUUUUUGGCCUCAGUGUGUUUCUUACAUUUUUGCUAGCUUAUGGAUGCAUUUAAUUUUAAAGAUAGAUAGAGUCUAGUAUUUAAAGUUGUUUUCAGGAGGAAGUUUAGCCCAAGUCCUUAGGCCACCAUGUUGCAAGAAAACCUAACGGGCAGUUUUCGGUUCUGAUGCAGCUUGAUUUUUGUGCUGCAUCUGGCCCUAUUGACCAGUCCCUCAGCUCUUCUGUUUGGUUUUGUUUUUCCCGACACUCUGACUACUCCUUUUUGGUUUCCUUCACUGGCCCAUCCCUGUUCCUCCACCUGUUCCUUAAAUGUUGGUCCUCCUUAGUCUCCGCUUCUUGUCUUAUGCCUCAUUAUCUCACCACUCCCCUGGCUUCAAGCUGUGACUCCUUGGAUUUCUCCAGCCCAGACUGUCCUGGGUUUCAAACCUGCAUAUUUAGCUGCCUCCUGGCCCUCUGAAGUUGCCACAGGCACCCAAAGUUGAACAUGUACAAAACUGAACUCACAUUUUCCCCACAUCUUACCCCUAUCACAUGCUAAAAUACUACAUCCCCUGUGUUCUGUACCAGUCCCCCAAGCUAGACACCUGGAAACCAUCUCUCAUCCAGCCCUCACCUCUCUUAUUGUCCCUCACAUCUCUUCUGUCCUUGCACAUUUGCUUCUGCCCUAACUCAAGGUACCUGUGCUUGUUGCCUGAACGGCUCUAACUAUGGCAGCUCUAGCUGGCACCCACCUUGCCUCUUCCAUCCAUACUAGACACAGUAGCAAGUGAUCCAUCUGAAACACAUCUCUAACCAAGCCCACUUAAAACCCUUUAGUGGCUCCUUUCAGAGCGAAGGCUGAGCUUCUCGGUAUAACAUUCAAAGCCCUUUGUGACCUCUCCAGUCUUUUGUCUUGAUGAGGACCCUCCCCAAGUCCACCUGAAGUUGCUGGCAAUCCUGGGAGCGCACCAGGCUGUUUCACACUUCCCUGUCUUUGUUCAUGCUACUUCCUCUGUUGAGAAGGCUCUGUGUCAUUCUGGAUGCCAUCAGGAGAGAGACAUCACACAGUCAGCAGGCAGGGAAAGUUCAACAUAAGCAUUUUGAAGUGUAACAGGGAAUUGAAGCUGUGAUGAACUGGCUAGUAAGAAGUAAAUAAAUAAAUAAAUAAACAAAUAAAAAUCUAAAGAAUAUAGGACUAGCAGAGUCUUCAGGCUGAGAUGGAGAGCCCAAGGAAGAGGCCCUCACCUCUCCACUCCAUUCCUGUCCAGGGCUGAGAACCACACCGUGCAGGACAGGACAUGGCCACAAUGAACAGUGUACAUUUAGAAGUGAGAGGAAAUAAAGGCAAUCAGCAAUAACCAGUUCGGGUUCCAUGCCUCUCAUCCACCCUAUAAUCCACCCUGUGCAAACAAACUCAUUUUUCAAGACUCAGUUCAAAUACCACCUUUUCCACAAAGACUUUUCCUCUUCUGCGUCUAUCCAGGAAAAAACUGAUUCCUCUUCCUUUGUGAUUGUAGAAUCUGCCCCCUCCUUGACACACAUACCUAUAACCUCAGUCAUACUUCUACUGGGGUACUUGUUUACCCCUACCUAGGGUUGCCAGAAAAAAAUCAGGACACUUAUUUAUUUUUUUUUUUUUUGAGAUGGAGUCUUGCUCUGUCACCCAGGCUAGAGUUCAGUGUCACGGCUCACUGCAACCUCUGCCUCCCAGGUUCAAGCAAUUCUUCUGCCUCCUGAGUAACUGGGACUACAGGUGUGCACCACCAUCCCCGGCUAAUUUUGUAUUUUUAGUAGAGACAGGGUUUCACCAUAUUGGCCAGGCUGGUCUCAAACUCUUGACCUCGUGAUCCGCCCACCUCGGCCUCCCAAAGUGCUGGGAUUACAGGCAUGAGCCACCGCACCUGGCCAUCUAUUUAAUUUUGAAUAUGAGAUAAACAACAAUUUUUUUUUUUUUGAGAUGGAGUCUCACUCUGUCGCCUAGGCUGGAGUGCAGUGGCACGAUCUCAGCUCACUGCAAGCUCUGCCUCCCAGGUUCACACCAUUCUCCUGAGUAGCUGGGACUACAGGCGCCCACCACCACGCCCAGCUAAUUUUUUGUAUUUUUAGUAGAGACAGGGUUUCACCAUGUUAGCCAGGAUGGUCUCGAUCUUCUGACCUCGUGAUCUGCCCUCCUCGGCCUCCUAAAGUGCUGGGAUUACAGGCGUGAGCCACUGCUCCCAGCCUUUUUUUUUUUUUUUUUUUUUUUUUGAGAUAGAGUCUUAUUCUGUCACCCAGGUUGGAGUGCAGUGGUACGAUUUUGGGCUCAAGCAAUCCUUCCACCUCAGCCUCCCAAGUAGCUGGACCACAGAUGCACGUCACCACACCUGGCUAAGUUUUUGUAUUUUUGGUAGAGACAGGGUUUCACUAUGUUGCCCAGGCUGGUCUUGAAUUCCUGAGCGCUAGCGAUCCACCUGUUUCAGCCUCCCAAAGUGCUGGGAUUACAGGGGUGAGCCACCACGCCCAGCCAAUUUUUUUGUAUAAGUAUGUCUCAAUUAUUGCAUUGGACAUACUGAAAACAAGUAUUUAGGCCAGGCAUGGUGACUCGCACCUGUAAUCCGAGCACUUUGGGAGGCCAAUGUGGGAGGAUCUCUUGAACUCAGGAGUUCGAGACCAGCCUGGGUAACAUAGCAAGAGCCCAUCUCUACCAAAAAAAUAAAAAUUAAAAAAAUUUAAAAAUUAGCCAGUCGUGGUAGAAUGCACCUGUAGUCUUAGCUAGUUAGGAGGCUAAGGUGAGAGGAUCGCUUGAGCCCAGGAGGUGGAGGUUGCAGUGAACUGAGAUCACACCACUGCACUCCAGCCCGAGGGACACAGCAAGACCCUAUCUAAAAAAAAAAAAGGUGUAUUUAUUGUUUACCUUAAAUCCAUUUUUUUUUUUGAGACAGAGUCUCACUUUGUCGCCAGGCUAGAGUGCAGUGGCACAAUCUUGGCUCACUGCAACCUCUGCCUCCCGGGUUCAAGCGAUUCUCCUGCCUCAGCCUCCCAAGUAGCUGGGACUACAGGUGCGUGCCACCACGCCCAGCUAAUUUUUAUAUUUUUAGUAGAGACCGGGUUUUACCAUGUUGGCUAGGGUGGUCUCACUCUCUUGACCUCAUGAUCCGCCCACCUCAGCCUCCCAAAGUGCUGGGAUUACAGGCAUGAGUCACCACGCAGGGCCUGAAAUCCAAAUUUAACAGGAUGUCUUUUACUUUUAUUUGCUACCCUACCCCUACUUCCAUCUCCAAGUAUAGUUUCCUUGAUGGCAAAACAUGUUUCUCACUGGUCUCUGAAUCCCUGAAACUAGCCCAGUGCACGACAGUUCAUGCUCGGUUAAUAUGAAGAGAAGGCAACUUAUCUGGCUGCAGCGCUGAGAAUGGUUGGAGGGAGUUGUGACUGGAGACAGUGAGACCAGGUAGGAGGAUGAGGAAUAAACCAUCCAAAAAAUUAUGAAGGCUUCAGCAGAAUAGCACUGGGGAUAGGGAAAGGGGAUGGAUCUGCAGGAUCUAAGGAUUUGGUGACCAAUGCUUAAGGGACAUGACAGAGCUUAAGGAGCCUAGGAGAUUGCCCAAGUUUCUGGCUGUGUCACUGGAUGAGGUUGGUGCACUCACUGAGCAGGGAACACUGGGGAGGGUCUGGAAGCUGGACAGCAGGGAAGCUCAUUGAUGUGAGGAGCAGAGCAGGCUGGAGAAGGGUGGACAGCAGAUCUGAAGGAGGAAACGGAAGACAUCCAGUAUGGAUAUGUUAAGCUUGAUGUCUCCCAGGAUAUACAGAUAGAGGUAUUGGAAUUACAGACUUGGGGCUCAGGUGAAUGUUCUAGGCUGGAGAUAAAAUGUGAGCAUGGUUAGCAUGGAGGUGGUAACUGAAACCACGGGAGUAGACAGUGCUGCUCAGGGAGAGAGUAGAAUGGGAAGAGGAGAGAGAGUCGGUAUCAGAGCUCUGAGGAACAUGAGAGGCAGAGAGAGGAAGAGGAACUCAGAAGUCGUCUGAGAACAAGCCUCUGGAGGAGUGGAAGGAGAACCCGGAGAGUAUUGGACCAAGAGAGUCACGGGAAGACAGGUUUUCAAGGAGGACUGACACUAUCGAAUGCUUCUGAGACUUCAAAGGACUAAAUGGCCUUUGGCUUUAGUAUUGACCAGAGUCACCUGUGGCCCCAGGAGCUACAAUGUGCCACCUGGUGACAGGUUAUAGCUACUAUGUGGUAAACAGAGGAGGGAAGGUGGAACUAAGGAUCCCGAAUCCGUUUGGAGGCAGAGAGGGGCCAACAGGGUGUUUGAAGGGAGCAAAGGCAUCGAAAUUUUUGGAGCAUCUAGAACUGGGGCAGUGAAUGCAGAAGAGUGGGAGCACACACACGUUUCUCCUCCUUGACCCAGAAUGGGCACAGCCUUCAGAGAGCUCUUGCCAGCUCCUCACUCUAGCCUGGGUGAAGGGGGCAUCUGUGCCAAAGCAGGAAGGCACACAGGCGGAUUGGAAGGAAUUUCUCUCAGCAGCGUCAAAUGCCUGAGGGAUCUCGCCCUCGACCCUCUCCAUCUCUCAUGGUACUCUCAUUCACCCCCGGCUGCAGCUCCUGCCUCUGUGCUGACAGCUGUCACAUCAAUCCAGCCCAGACCUCCCUCGGCAGCUCUAGACCAGCAGAUCCCACUGCCUCCUGACAACCCCUCUGGAUGUCCCACAGUUCCUCAGACUUAGCAUCCUUUCCAAAUCCAUGCCCCCAUCUCAUUUCCAAAAAAGAAAAAUCAUAGAGGCCUCCCCAAUACAAAUGCAUAGGACAUGGGAAACAAGGUUUGAAAGGAUAUCCAGAAAAGCUUAGGGAUAGCCCUGGCCUUUUGGAGGUGACUUGGGGGUGGUAUGAGAGGCCAGAGUCAGCAGUAACUUCUCCUUUCUUCCCCACGAAGGUGUGGACUUCUUAGCUUCCUGUCCUUUUCGUACCAUUUGCCAAAUUGAAUUUAAAUAAUUAUUACUGUAAUUGCUUACUUAUUGUCUGUCUCUCCUGGUUGAAGCUUCUCAAGGGCAGGGAUCAUGUCUGUUUCACUUCUGUAUCCUUGGCAUCUGUCAUAUAAUCAGUAUCUGACAUAUAAUAGGUGCUUAAUAAAUAUUUGUUUGAAUUAAUGAAUAUCCUUGUUCAUCACCCAAGAUGCAGAUCCUGCUGGGGCCCUUAUCUUUUCCUGCCUCCUUAUCCACAUGGAGCUCUGUGCUUUGCUCACCGGAGCCAGCACCCCACCGCACCCUCUACCAACCCUCGGUUUUUUUCAGAUGCCCUCAUGCCCUGGGCUGCUUCAUGGAAUGUGGAUAGUGAGUUAACCAUGCUGGCCUGUCUGCAAGCAGAGGCAUGUGUAUAUCUGACAAGGCACCCUCAAGACAAUUCCCUGGAUG